rnacentral:rRNA from 1 species
GGUUAAGCGACUAAGCGUACACGGUGGAUGCCCUGGCAGUCAGAGGCGAUGAAGGACGUGCUAAUCUGCGAUAAGCGCCGGUAAGGUGAUAUGAACCGUUAUAACCGGCGAUUUCCGAAUGGGGAAACCCAGUGUGACUCGUCACACUAUCAUUAACUGAAUCCAUAGGUUAAUGAGGCGAACCGGGGGAACUGAAACAUCUAAGUACCCCGAGGAAAAGAAAUCAACCGAGAUUCCCCCAGUAGCGGCGAGCGAACGGGGAGGAGCCCAGAGCCUGAAUCAGCAUGUGUGUUAGUGGAAGCGUCUGGAAAGGCGCGCGAUACAGGGUGACAGCCCCGUACACAAAAGCGCAUAUGCUGUGAGCUCGAUGAGUAGGGCGGGACACGUGGUAUCCUGUCUGAAUAUGGGGGGACCAUCCUCCAAGGCUAAAUACUCCUGACUGACCGAUAGUGAACCAGUACCGUGAGGGAAAGGCGAAAAGAACCCCGGCGAGGGGAGUGAAAAAGAACCUGAAACCGUGUACGUACAAGCAGUGGGAGCACCCUUUGGGG